rnacentral:lncRNA from 1 species
GGUACCUGCUGCCUCUGCACCUGCACCAACUCCUCCUCCAGUAACAAAUGAGUCAACACAGACAGCUUCUAGGUCAAGGAAGAGGGCAGCACCAGCUACAUCAACAGCACCACCACCUCUCAAGAAGAGCAGGACCAACACAUCUUCUGCAACAGUAGUAGCACCUGCCAAGAAGAAGAACACAACUAUUCCUGGCAAUGGAUCAAGGUCUUCUCCAGCAAAGAACACCAGGUCAUCAAGGUCUUCUCCAGCAAAGAACACCAGGUCAGCUACUGCUAAUAGAGCUGGCACUGGAUCUUUCAUUGCUCCUAGACAGGCUACAAGUGUUGUGCAUGAUGGGUCAAAGAGGGUCAGGAAGCCAUCUAAUAGGCUGAAAGAUUACUUUUAUGCAAGUGGCAACUAGCUGAAGUUGUUGAACUCCAAGUGCU